AAAAGCGUGCCAUCUAGAAACUGUUCUUUUAUUAUUAUUAUUAUUAUCAUUACUCUGCUUAAUACAUGGAUCUCAGGGAGGUUUCCUCCCCUCCCAAAGGAGGAUGGAGAGAUGGAGGACUAAAGGGAGAAAAUAAAAGGAAUGGUAAUAUCAAAAAUAAAAACCACGCACAAACACACACAUGCAGCACCCUGUGAAGAAUUCAGGAGAAGAAAAAUGAAUCAUCCAUAGUGCUUAGAGAAGACGCGUCUUCCCAUCCUCUGGAAAGGGACCCGCGAUGCAGCAGGAGAAGCAGCCCCGGGACGCGCUCUCGUCCGCAGCCGGGUUACAAACAUUGGCUUGCAAAUGCUGCGCUUAUAAGAUUUCCAAAUCCUUCCAUCCACCACCACCACCUCCAGCGCCCCGGGGAAGCCAGAGUCCCGGCUGGCUGGGCUCGAACCUGCGGCGCCGAAGCUCGAUAUCCAGGCACUUGGAGGGUUCGGCGUUGACACGGCCGCCAAGGCGAAAAGGAGAGCUGGCACAAAGGACGCACGGAGUUGGGGAGGGGGUGGGGGGGACGCUGGGAAGGGAGGGGAGGCGACGCUCCCAGGAAUCGGUAGCUGCUCUGCCGAGGGGUGGGGAGGGGAAAAGGGUGGGGAGGGGGGGUGAUGAUGUCUCUCCUUGGAUCUCGGCUCCGACUUACAUUUCUGCCCCGAGAGAAGAGGGGGGUGGGGAGAAGGGAAAGGGUGAAGCGAGAAACAGAAAGCGAACCUCCGAGAGGAGAGAAAAGAGAGCUUUGGGCAGGUGCAGUGUGAAUACCCCCUUUCAGCUACACUGCAUGCUGGAGACUGGUUGGGCUAAUACUGCUGCAGCUCGACUUCUUGAUGAGAUGCCAGACUGCCGAGGCCUUGAGAACGUUGGCUAAUCCUGGGCUUUGGGCUCAGUUACAACUCACAAGAUGAGAACAGGACCCAGACAGCAGGCAGUCCUGUCUUUAACCCUUGAUGCACCUGGCUCUUAAACUUCAAAUUAAGGACUGGAAGGCAUGAAGAAUUAACUAGUAAGGAAGAGGAG
rnacentral:lncRNA from 1 species